rnacentral:rRNA from 1 species
UUGUCUCAAAGAUUAAGCCAUGCAUGUCUCAGUACAAGCCAAAUUAAGGUGAAACCGCGAAAGGCUCAUUAAAUCAGUUAUGGUUCCUUAGAUCGUACCACAUAAUUUACUUGGAUAACUGUGGUAAUUCUAGAGCUAAUACAUGCAAACAGAGCCCCAACCGGAGACGGAAGGGGCGCUUUUAUUAGAUCAAAACCAAUCGGUGGUGAACGCUUGCGUUCGCUUAUCGUACAACUUGGUGACUCUGAAUAACUUUAUGCUGAUCGCAUGGUCUUGCACCGGCGACGCAUCUUUCAAAUGUCUGCCUUAUCAACUGUCGAUGGUAGGUUCUGCGCCUACCAUGGUAAUAACGGGUAACGGGGAAUCAGGGUUCGAUUCCGGAGAGGGAGCCUGAGAAACGGCUACCACAUCCAAGGAAGGCAGCAGGCGCGCAAAUUACCCACUCCCGGCACGGGGAGGUAGUGACGAAAAAUAACGAUACAAGACUCAUCCGAGGCCUUGUAAUCGGAAUGAGUACACUCUAAAACCUUUAACGAGGAUCAAUUGGAGGGCAAGUCUGGUGCCAGCAGCCGCGGUAAUUCCAGCUCCAAUAGCGUAUAUUAAAGUUGUUGCGGUUAAAAAGCUCGUAGUCGAAUCUGUGUCCCACACCGCCGGUUCAUCGUCCGCGGUGUCAACUGGCGUGCCGUGGGACGUCCUGCCGGUGGACUUUGGUCGCAAGGCCGGUCCAAUUUAAUCCCGCCGCGGUGCUCUUCACUGAGUGUCGAGGUGGGCCGGCACGUUUACUUUGAACAAAUUAAAGUGCUUAAAGCAGGCUAAAAUUUUGCCUGAAUAUUUCGUGCAUGGAAUAAUGGAAUAGGACCUCGGUUCUAUUUUGCUGGUUUUCGGAACCCCGAGGUAAUGAUUAAUAGGCACGAAUGGGGGCAUUCGUAUUGCGACGUUAGAGGUGAAAUUCUUGGAUCGUCGCAAGACGGACAGAAGCGAAAGCAUUUGCCAAAAACGUUUUCAUUGAUCAAGAACGAAAGUUAGAGGUUCGAAGGCGAUCAGAUACCGCCCUAGUUCUAACCAUAAACGAUGCCAGCUAGCGAUCCGCCGACGUUCCUCCGAUGACUCGGCGGGCAGCUUCCGGGAAACCAAAGCUUUUGGGUUCCGGGGGAAGUAUGGUUGCAAAGCUGAAACUUAAAGGAAUUGACGGAAGGGCACCACCAGGAGUGGAGCCUGCGGCUUAAUUUGACUCAACACGGGAAACCUCACCAGGCCCAGACACCGGAAGGAUUGACAGAUUGAGAGCUCUUUCUUGAUUCGGUGGGUGGUGGUGCAUGGCCGUUCUUAGUUGGUGGAGCGAUUUGUCUGGUUAAUUCCGAUAACGAACGAGACUCUAGCCUGCUAAAUAGGCGUAUUUCGACAUCUUAAAGGCCCGCCAUCGCACUCGUUUUGGUGGGUGUUCAUCUUUAACCGGGUGUUCGCUCAUCUUGCGGUGCAAUGUGCGCGGUUUUUACUGUCGGCGUAUAAACUUAUCUUCUUAGAGGGACAGGCGGCUUCUAGCCGCACGAGAUUGAGCAAUAACAGGUCUGUGAUGCCCUUAGAUGUUCUGGGCCGCACGCGCGCUACACUGAAGGAAUCAGCGUGUCCUCCCUGACCGAACGGUCCGGGUAACCCGCUGAACCUCCUUCGUGCUAGGGAUUGGGGCUUGCAAUUAUUCCCCAUGAACGAGGAAUUCCCAGUAAGCGUGAGUCAUAAGCUCGCGUUGAUUACGUCCCUGCCCUUUGUACACACCGCCCGUCGCUACUACCGAUUGAAUGAUUUAGUGAGGUCUUCGGACUGGUACGCGGUGGCGCUUCGGCGUUGCCGAUGUUGCUGGGAAGAUGACCAAACUUGAUCAUUU